rnacentral:tRNA from 1 species
UGUUCUGUGGCUAAGUUGGUUAAAGCGCCGGAUUAGCGAUACGUAGCCGUGGGCUCGAAUCUCAUCAAAACAA